GGUUGAGAAAAAUUAAUACGAGGGAUGUGCUGUGGUGGCUCAGGGGUUGGGCGCGACCCACGUGUGGAGGCCUUGGUCCUCGGCGCGGCUGUCGCGGGUUCGAUUCCCGGCCCGGCGGCAUUUCCGCAUGUCUUCCCCUUCUCACAAAAUUUCCAGAUAUAAUCAGUAACAUGCUGCGUGUCUAGAUCACAGAUUUAGCUAAGAAACGGAAACAGGCUCCAGGUCAUGCUCAUAUUUAAUGGGCCAUUCAUAUUUUUGCCUCCCUGCAUGUGGGAGAGGUCUUGGCUGCUCACAGGCUCCAGCAGCCUCCCUCUGUCAUGCGUGGAGAGGCUUCAGCUGCCAUUGUGCUGUUUGAAACGGGAUAGGUGUGCCCGUCUCUUGGAUUAAAGCAGGAGAAUGGACCCAGAAACAGACAGGUUCCACUGCCUAUGCCCACUGAUACGCCUUCGCAUCGGGCCGGGGAAGACGCUCUGUAAUGACGCAGCAUCUGCAGCGUUACGAAUAAAAUGAAUAAAACUCUUUGAUUUGAGCUUGAAAA